GAUCAUGGCUCAGGAUGAACGCUGGUGGCGUGCCUAACACAUGCAAGUCGAACGGAACUAUUUUGGAAACUCCUUCGGGAGCGGAAUCUUUAGUUUAGUGGCGGACGGGUGAGUAACGCGUGAGCAAUCUGCCUUUAAGAGGGGGAUAACAGUCGGAAACGGCUGCUAAUACCGCAUAAAGCAUCAAAUUCGCAUGUUUUUGAUGCCAAAGGAGCAAUCCGCUUUUAGAUGGGCUCGCGU
rnacentral:rRNA from 1 species